rnacentral:lncRNA from 10 species
AUUUGUUUCAUUUUUGAUAAAUGUUUUAGGUAAUUGUAAAUCCUCAUAGACACAGAAAAUAUAAAUGUGGCAAAAUAUUAUUAAUAUUGUGUUUUUGUUUCAGUACUUCUGGAUAAAAUAUAGAAUUGGGAACUAUUUCUUUCCUUUAUGAUUGAUUUGACAGGGAAAUAACUUAGUCUAAGGCUUUGCAUACACUGAUUAUAGAUUUCAGAGUGAGUAAUUUCAGAAAGGAUUUAAAUAAUUCUGAUUCUUCUUUUCCUGUGUGUUUCUUCCAUUACGACAGUUGCAAGCUCCUACGAAGCUCCCACUCAAAAAGAAAAAAAAAACAAAACCUGAAAUCUGAAAUAGAAAUUAUCAGCCCGAGAAUGAGAUGUCCCUAAUGCAUAAAGAGUUCUGCUAAGGAAAUGAAGCAUGUUCUUCAAGCAAGAAAGAAACUCUUUUCUGGAUUACAGUUAUUCUGACAGCCACAGGCCUCACAGAACUAGCAUAGCCAAGAUUUACACUUCAAAGGUAAUAUAUGAAGCAGUAAUAUGUCACCUGAUGAUAAUGCAUAUUCCUUUGUGUACUUGAUCUUAGUGAUAUUAAAUCCUUUUUUAUAUACACAUGCAAAUAAACUAUGCCAUGGUUAAAUUUUGCUGUAAAAUGUCCAAUUGUUCAAGUGAUUAGGAAAAGGUUAUAAUUUCUUAAGACCAUAUCAACACAUUAACUCAUUUUUUUCCUAGGAAUAGAAUAAAAAAAUACAUGACUAUUAUUUGUUUUAGUUUGCCUUAUUUAUUAAUUAUUUAUUUUUGAGACAGUCUUGCUCUGUCACCCUGGCUGGAGUGCAGUGAUAGGAUCAUAAUUCACUGCAGUCUUGAACUCCUGGACUCAGGUGACCCUCCCACUUCAGCCUCCCAAGUAGCUGGGAUUACAGGCAUUCACCACAACACUGAGCCAGUUUCUAAAUUUUUUGUAGAGA